UUGAGAAAGAGUUGGUCAAGUCUUUUUCUCCCAGACACAAACUAUUUCUUCCCCAGGGCAGUAUUUCCCAAUUAUCCUUUGCUGUCAUCAUCGCCUCCUUCGCGUCUGGGCUCAUGAACAUUUCAGCAAGUUACCACACUGCAGAGUCACUGGGAAAACGGGGACCCCACACAGAGCUGAUCAUCUCAGACACACACGAAG
ensembl:misc_RNA